rnacentral:misc_RNA from 1 species
GAUGAAGAACGUAGCGAAAUGCGAUAAGCAAUGUGAAUUGCAGAAUUCAGUGAAUCAUCGAAUCUUUGAACGCACAUUGCGCCCGCCAGUAUUCUGGCGGGCAUGCCUGUUCGAGCGUCAUUACAACCCUCAGGCCCCCGGGCCUGGCGUUGGGGAUCGGCGGAGCCCCCCGUGGGCACACGCCGUCCCCCAAAUGCAGUGGCGGUCCCGCCGCAGCUUCCAUCGCGUAGUAGCUAACACCUCGCGACUGGAGAGCGGCGCGGCCACGCCGUAAAACACCCAACUCUUCUGAAGUUGACCUCGAAUCAGGUAGGAAUACCCGCUGAACUUAAGCAUAUCAAUAAGCGGAGGA